GAGCUCACUUUGGCCCCACAUAUACUAAAAUUGGAAUGGUACAGAGAAGACUAGAAUGGUUCUUGCACAAGGAUUACAUGCAAAACAGGUGACUAGGGGCUGGGGAGU
rnacentral:snRNA from 1 species